AGCGAACGCUGGCGGCAGGCCUAACACAUGCAAGUCGAACGGAUCCUUCAGGAUUAGUGGCGGACGGGUGAGUAACACGUGGGAACGUGCCCUUUGGUUCGGAACAACUCAGGGAAACUUGAGCUAAUACCGGAUGUGCCCUUCGGGGGAAAGAUUUAUCGCCAUUGGAGCGGCCCGCGUCUGAUUAGCUAGUUGGUAAGGUAAAGGCUCACCAAGGCGACGAUCAGUAGCUGGUCUGAGAGGAUGAUCAGCCACAUUGGGACUGAGACACGGCCCAAACUCCUACGGGAGGCAGCAGUGGGGAAUCUUGCGCAAUGGGCGAAAGCCUGACGCAGCCAUGCCGCGUGAAUGAUGAAGGUCUUAGGAUUGUAAAAUUCUUUCACCGGGGACGAUAAUGACGGUACCCGGGGAAGAAGCCCCGGCUAACUUCGUGCCAGCCGCCGCGGUAAAAC
rnacentral:rRNA from 1 species